UACGAAGGGGGCUAGCGUUGCUCGGAAUCACUGGGCGUAAAGGGUGCGUAGGCGGAUCUUUAAGUCAGGGGUGAAAUCCCAAGGCUCAACCUUGGAACUGCCUUUGAUACUGGGGAUCUCGAGUCCGGAAGAGGUUGGUGGAACUCCGAGUGUAGAGGUGAAAUUCGUAGAUAUUCGGAAGAACACCAGUGGCGAAGGCGGCCAACUGGUCCGGCACUGACGCUGAGGUGCGAAAGCGUGGGGAGCAAACAGG
rnacentral:rRNA from 1 species